ensembl:lincRNA
AUUUUUUUUUUGUCUUUUAGAAACAAUUUUAUAUAAAUACGUCCCCUAACAAAGAAUACAUGUUUGGAGUGUCCAGUUUUGAGUAUGGAAGAUCUGCCUUCUUCGUGGGAAGCAGAUUCCAGCUUGCUUGACCAGCACGCCUAUGCAGUCAGCUUUUCUACCUUUGCUGGUGCUUUUGUUUUUUUCCAACGUUGGAAUCAGGCUUUUCAGUCCAGCUUUGACUUUGUUUACAACUUUCUGGUCACAGCUCUGAAGAAGGCUGGAAAGAAUAAUGGCACCUUGAUUGAUGCUAGCCCAGGACUUGAGGUUCUUCAUGCCAACAUGCUCUAUAAGGGUUUUUGCUAAACAACCUUCUCUUGUAUCAUCUUUCAUCUUUUUAUCUUGCUCUAUUAACCAUUUGAGAAGGAGAUGUGCUGCAGGAUGCUCGCCACAUGAAGCUCUCCAUCCUUGCCACCAGGAUGUAGUUCUACUGCUGCCAAACUGGCGAUGACAUCCGUGGCAGGCUGAACAUCUCCAGUAGCAGAUCCCAGGAUGUCAGACACCAACACACAUGCAGACUUGUCUAGCAGCACCUCUUGAGCAAAAAAGGUGGAGAGAUGGAUUCCAAGAGCUUAUGCUGGCGGAUGACAGUAUCUUUCUUACUGUGUGCCUUGCCAUCACCCUUCUGCAGAAGCUUGAUAACUUCUUGGAUUGUGUGGGCAGGAUCUCUGAUUGCUGAUAUGAUAUCUGCUUCACAAGCUUAGUGUCAUAAAUACAAUCAAAUGCUGCCAGUAAAACCAAAUGAGAGCAUUGGCCAUUGGCCACCUUUUCAAUGUGUGUCUUCAUUGUUUCCAUGAUCACUUUCCUGUCCUUGGGUGUACCAUGCCACAAGCAGUGUAUGGACAUUCUGGAACCAUCGUGUGUGUGUGUAUCAGGUAUACCACUGCUUCCUGCAUGGCUUCAAUUAAUUGUGAUAGAAGUUUUGGGGGAGUGUAGGUAAAAAAAGUCCAAGAACACUUUAUGAACCAGGGAGUGCUUAAUCACAGCUUCCUUCUGGGCCAUUGGAGUCAGAAUCUGCUUCAUUUCAUCCAUAAUAAGCUCUAGCUUUCUGGCUGCACCUCCAGCACCUUGUCCAGAGUUGGGUGAUCUGCUGACUUGUAAAUCUGAAAUCUGUUCCCGUAGAGCUCCUCUGUCAGCAUGUUCCUCUUUUCCAAAAUGGCUUUGUCAUUGUAUGCAUACUCCAUGAUGGCCUCUGAAUGUCGCAACAUCUUCCUCACAUGACUUUUAAAACUUCGGAACUCUGCGAGCUUCUGGCCCACGUGUUCGAAUUGCUAUGAUGGAAGUCAAAGAGAAGAAAAAAAAAAAUAACAGGAAAAAGCUCAAAGACAGAACAAGGAAAAAAUAGAUUUCAUAAAAACAGUGAUUCUGGCUGUUCAAAGGCAUUCCCACAGAAAGUUGUCAAGCAAGGAAGGUGGCCCUAAUGUCACAUCUAAGGACUUUGAGACAGGUGCCACAAAACCUGGCAAAGAGGUUGUGAAGCAGUUCAAGAACAAGCCACAGGGGGCAAAGGACCGAAGGACAGAUUCCGGAAGCUAAAUACAUUCAACAAGAAGAGAGAGUUCCAGCCAGACAGGAAAAGCAACGAAUCAGCAACCAAAAAAACCCAAAUGGGGUGACUUCAAAAAGAAGAAGAAAGAGCUGAAGCAGAGCAGGCAGGUCAGUGAUAAGACCAACUAUGACAUAGUGGUUCUAGCAAAGCACAUUUGGGAAAGCUUGAGAAGAAAAGACUGUGAUAAAGAAAAAAGAAGGAAGCUGAUGAGUGAUUUGCAGAAGUUGAUUCAAGGGAAAAUUAAAACUAUUGCCUUUGCACAUGACUCAACACAUGUGAUACAGUGAUUCAUUCAGUAUGGGAAUGAAGAGCAGAGGAAGCAGGCUUUUGAAGAACUACAAGGUGACUUGGCUGAACUAAGUAAAGCCAAAUAUUCUAGGAAUAUUGUGAAGAAAUUUCUCAUGUCUGGAAGUAGACCACAGAUAGCAGAGAUAAUCAGAAGUUUUAAAGGUCACAUCAGAAACCAUCUUUUAGUGAAAGGAUCGAGAAAAAUAUUCUAAGAAAAUGGAACAAGAAAG